GACGAACGCUGGCGGCGUGCUUAACACAUGCAAGUCGAACGGAAAGGCCCCUUUGGGGGUACUCGAGUGGCGAACGGGUGAGUAACACGUGAGUAACCUGCACUUGACUUCGGGAUAACUUCAGGAAACUGGGGCUAAUACCGGUUAGGAAUCCUUGCUGCAUGGUGGGGGUUGGAAAGUUUCGGCGGUUUUGGAUGGACUCGCGGCUUAUCAGCUUGUCGGUGUGGUUAUGGCUUACCAAGGCUUUGACGGGUAGCCGGCCUGAGGGGGCGACCGGCGACAUUGAGACUGAGGUGCGGCCCAGACUCCUACGCGAGGCAGCAGUGGGGAAUAUUGCACAAUGGACGGAGGCCUGAUGCAGCAGCGCCGCGUGCGGUAUGACGCCCUUCGGAUUGUAAACCGCUUUCAGCAGGGGCGAAGCUUGUGGUGACGGUACCUGCAGAGAAAGCACCGGCUAACUACGUG
rnacentral:rRNA from 1 species